GACGAACGCUGGCGGCGUGCUUAACACAUGCAAGUCGAACGGAAAGGCCCUGCUUUUGUGGGGUGCUCGAGUGGCGAACGGGUGAGUAACACGUGAGUAACCUGCCCUUGACUUUGGGAUAACUUCAGGAAACUGGGGCUAAUACCGGAUAGGAGCUCCUGCUGCAUGGUGGGGGUUGGAAAGUUUCGGCGGUUGGGGAUGGACUCGCGGCUUAUCAGCUUAUUGGUGGGGUAGUGGCUUACCAAGGCUUUGACGGGUAGCCGGUCUGAGAGGGUGACCGGCCACAUUGGGACUGAGAUACGGCCCAGACUCCUACGGGAGGCAGCAGUGGGGAAUAUUGCACAAUGGGCGGAAGCCUGAUGCAGCAACGCCGCGUGCGGGAUGACGGCCUUCGGGUUGUAAACCGCUUUCGCCUGUGACGAAGCGUGAGUGACGGUAAUGGGUAAAGAAGCACCGGCUAACUACGUG
rnacentral:rRNA from 1 species